UACGUAGGGGGCAAGCGUUGUCCGGAAUCAUUGGGCGUAAAGAGCGUGUAGGCGGCUCGGUAAGUCCGCUGUGAAGUCCAGGGCUCAACCCUGGAAUGCCGGUGGAAACUGUCGAGCUAGAGUCCGGAAGAGGCGAGUGGAAUUCCUGGUGUAGCGGUGAAAUGCGCAGAUAUCAGGAGGAACACCAUGGCGAAGGCAGCUCGCUGGGACGGUACUGACGCUGAGACGCGAAAGCGUGGGGAGCAAACAGG
rnacentral:rRNA from 1 species